ACGGGCUGGCGGCGUGCUAUACAUGCAGUCGAGCGAACAGAGAAGGAGCUUGCUCCUUUGACGUUAGCGGCGGACGGGUGAGUAACACGUGGGCAACCUACCCUAUAGUUUGGGAUAACUCCGGGAAACCGGGGCUAAUACCGAAUAAUCUUUUGUCCCUCAUGGGACAAUACUGAAAGACGGUUUCGGCUGUCGCUAUAGGAUGGGCCCGCGGCGCAUUAGCUAGUUGGUGAGGUAACGGCUCACCAAGGCAACGAUGCGUAGCCGACCUGAGAGGGUGAUCGGCCACACUGGGACUGAGACACGGCCCAGACUCCUACGGGAGGCAGCAGUAGGGAAUCUUCCACAAUGGGCGAAAGCCUGAUGGAGCAACGCCGCGUGAGUGAAGAAGGAUUUCGGUUCGUAAAACUCUGUUGUAAGGGAAGAACAAGUACAGUAGUAACUGGCUGUACCUUGACGGUACCUUAUUAGAAAGCCACGGCUAACUACGUGCCAGCAGCCGCGGUAAUACGUAGGUGGCAAGCGUUGUCCGGAAUUAUUGGGCGUAAAGCGCGCGCAGGUGGUUUCUUAAGUCUGAUGUGAAAGCCCACGGCUCAACCGUGGAGGGUCAUUGGAAACUGGGAGACUUGAGUGCAGAAGAGGAUAGUGGAAUUCCAGUGUAGCGGUGAAAUGCGUAGAGAUUUGGAGGAACACCAGUGGCGAAGCACUAUCUGUCUGUAACUGACACUGAGGC
rnacentral:rRNA from 1 species